UACAGUAUUCAAGUCUGAUUUAUGACAGCUUGAGAAGUGUGCCAUGGCCUUGUUUUAUACGCGUUGCCUUCAGGACUUACCAAGGAUCACAGUUAAUGAUGUCCAUAGAAUAGUUAAACUGUGCAGCAAAGCUCCAUCAAACAAACUGGAAAAGGGUUUUAAAAUGUACGUUUCCAGCUACCUCUGCAACUACCAGGAUUGUGCUAAAGGAUUCAGACCCAGUAAUAUUGAUACGUCGCCACUGUUCAUGUGCAGCUGGAAUGGCCUUGUGCAACCACACCGUUGCACUUCUGUUCUAGACAGCUCACUAUUCGCAGUUGGGAACAGCUGUUGUUCCUCCAGUUCACAGCUGUACUGAAACAGAACAAAGGUGGCACAAACCAAGAACCAUGGGUGUGCAACCUGGACCCAUUCAGAAAAUGGAAAUUACAAAGCCUCCCUGUGACGAAGUGCCCGCCCCUGUGUGUAUUUUCUGUUAUAUGUUGCAUGUGGUGUGUUAAAUGUUGGUGUAUAGUCAUUGGUACACGGGAUAUAAACGGGUCUGUGUAACACAAGUGUUUAAAAUGUAUAUUUGUAUUUAGGCACGAGGAUGGCACAGCACUUCACGUGCAAGUAAAAUGUAAUAUGUGAGCACGGGGAAUUGCACUUUAUUGAUUCACGUGCAGUUGUACCGCGACUCCAAUUGAAUGAUUGAUUAGCAGUCGAGUCUCGGUACAACUGCAUAAAUAGAUGCACGUUUCAUUCAGUCGGGGUUGGGUGUUCGAGAGUGGAGAACGGGAGAGAGAGGAAGGAAAAUAACAAUUGCUACAGCGUGCUGGAAGUGCCAGCAUGGUACUUGUUAAACGUUCGUCCGCUUGUUUUGUGUGUUAGUUCGUUUUGUUUACCUGUUUAUUUUGGCUCCAGUGCCGUGUCCUGUUUUGUGUUUAAAACCCUUUUAUUUUCUGUUUGUUCUGUUUAUUAAAUGCUGAGCGAAAGCAUUCGCUCAGCUCCACCAAACUCCACCUCUCUCGUUUUGUUUAUUUAUUUCCUGGCUCUGGUCUGACGCCACCCACUCCAGCCGUCUUUGUGACACUCCCUCUAACAGCUCUGCUGAAGGAGAAGUUAGGAGUUCACUGUACAAAGGACUUAUCGGAGAGUUACCAGACCUUUCUGUGCUGCAGGUAUCUGAAGCAUACCAGGACUUUGACAUUUUAUCCAAGCCACUAGUAACAACCAUGGGCAUAUCAGCUGACAAGCCUUUGAUGGAUUCCAUUUUUGGGAAAGUACAGGCAGGAAGUAUUGUGUCUUAUCAACAGCCUCUACCAUGAACUAUGCAUCAGCUGCAGAGUCACUUACAAUUACGUCUCACCCGAAAGACGGAGCACAAGGAGGUUAAGUGACUUGUUCAGGGUCACACAAUGAGUCAGUGGCUGAGGUGGGAUUUGAACCGGGGACCUCCUGGUUACAAGCCCUUUUCUUUAACCACUGGACCACACAGCCUCCUAGAUGAGGAGGGGUUUGGAAAUGGAGUCUGGAGCAGUUAGGGAAUACUGCAUGUUGAAAAAUGUGAAUUAUUCACCCUGUGGGCUUGUAAUUCACCCAGAUGCAGCUUGGCUUGGUUCUUCCCCAGAUGGCAUAAUUUCUGAUCCAACGGAGCAUCCACCUUUUGGCUUGGUGGAAAUUAAAUGUCCAAAUGUAAAAAACUAUGUUGACUGCAAAUACCUACAAAUGCAACAAGGUAUUUUAGCAUUGAAAAGUCAGCAUGCCUACUAUUGGCAAGUGCCAGGUCAGUUACUGAUUACAGGACUUGAAUGGUGUGACUUUGUUGUAUGUGCCCAGGAAUACAUGUUGGUGCAGCGUAUUUAUCGUGACCCUAACAUUACACCAAUCAUCAGAAAUAAGGCUGACCAAUUUUACUUUUUUGUGUACAUGCCAAAGUACUUGUCCAUUAAAAAAUGAAGUGUUGUGGUAAAGAAAAGUAGAAUUACUAAAAAUGUUUUCUUACUUAUCUAAAUUACAAUAAAAUCUACAGAAUUUGCCUUUUCUCUGCACAAUUUGUAGUCCAGGCCUUCAUUCUGUCAAGACUGAACUCACCUCACCUCUUAUCAGCCCACUUCAGCUCAUGCAGAACUCUGCUGCUCGCCUUGUUUACUGUUUUACCUGUUCAGACUGCACCUGUAGACACUGCAGAUCUUCAUUGCCUGUAUUGUACGCUUGUGCUUUG